rnacentral:lncRNA from 1 species
CUAGCAAAGUGCUUCGCCUAAAAGCGAAUGGUGCCUGUGCUUUUUCUAAUCAUUUCUAUUUAAUAAAGGUUUUACGUCGCCUGAGGCUAUUACCAACUAAGGUUAUUCACCAUAGUAUUGUACACACUUUAAUAAUUAAAAUGAUUUAUUACAACAAUAGGACCAUAUAUAGCAUAACAUUUCUUUUCAUCUAUAUUCACUAUCAUGAAAGUAUUACAUGAUGUUCACUUACAUGAUGUUCACAACAGGGUAUUGCUUGACGUUAUUAUAUCACCAACGACAUAUUAGUAUACAUAAUAAUUGUGAUACUUUGUCCAUUAGAUCACCUAAUCAUAAAAGAUAUUUGGUGAUAACCUUCAUAUUUGCUAAUGUUAUGAGACAUACAUAUGAUUUUUAAAUUACAUAAGUUAUAUUCGUUGAUUCGCAUUUUGUUUUCAUUGCUAUUAAAAUUCAAGCUUCUAAAAGACGUUAGGCUCUAGUUAGGCGGCGGGUUGGGGCCUAGUGUCUAGGCGGCUAAGUGAGGGCCCAGGUGGACUAGGCGGAUUUAAGUAAAUUUAUUAUAUGUUGUGUAAAUAGUGCCUAUUUAUACUUAAAAAAAUACAUAAUAGUAUUGUGAUACAUCAAUUACAAAUAAAGUUACAUAUAGAUUAUAAAAUAUUAGAACAUAUUGAAAACAUGAGGAACAAGCAUAUAAUGAGUGUUCAUCCAAGUAUUUAACAAAUCUCCUACAUUUUAUUGACAAAAUAAAAUGGAAAAUGAAAGUUAUUGAUUUUCUGUCUAAGUGAGAGUCGCGAUAUAGGUGGGGUGCCUAGGUAGGUUUAGGCUGGCUAGACAAGCGCGGAAGCAGGCUAGACGGUCGCCUAAGCGGGUCUACACACACUUUCUUCAUUUUCAAACGCCUAUGGACUAAUCGAGGCGAUGACUAGCCUCCUAACGCUUAGGCAAGCCCUAGGCAAAGAUCUUUUUUUCAAGAUCAUCCGUGAAAUUAUAAUUAAAUCAAAAAUAUUACACGGCGAAAUCUAAAGAUUGGUCGAGUAAGAGUCUUUAUGCGACGAAUAGUGUAAUUUACGGAUUAAUUUUAUAUUUUUAUGGUUCACAAAUUGUAUAGAUGUUGUGGCUUAUUUCUCACUGUAAGGUUGUAACCUGUGCAUAUCCUGCAACUCCUACACCUACUGUUGUGGCUUUAAGUGCUCCACUGACUAUGAAGCCUUUGUCAGUUGCUCCGGUUGCGCUUAAUAUGCCUCAAGCGACCGCAUCAUCGAUGUCUUUGGUGUUGCAUCCACUUAGCACACGUCAAACUCAACGCCAACCUCGCACAGUCGACCAUCCGGAUGAGACUUCUUCUGAUCCAUAGUCGAUGAAGAGGCAUCCCAGAUACAUAAUAUUUAAUAACUUUUUAUAUCGUAAUUGCUUUCAUUUUAAAAAUAUUUGUUGUUGAAUAUAACUGGUUGCAUGCUUCGAAUGUCGGUUUCAUUUCAAUAUGUAUAAUUGAAUUGUUGAAAAUGUUGACUAGAUAUGAAUUUUUGUUGUAUUACUGUUUGCAAGUUUUGAAAAAUGUUAUAUUUUUAAGGAAGGUUCUGCCGGAUUUUUGGUAGAAUUUAAGUAUGUGUUUGACAAUUAAAUUUCCUUUUUGUGGCUAAGAAAAACAUCAGGGGAUCAUGUUGACAGUUGAAGACGAUGAAGGUGACACGCGUGGCGAACAGUCGGAUCACUGUUGCAUAUGAUGAGCAACAUUGUGCAGUGGCUAUGCUAUAGCAGCAUAGCAGCUUGGCCCGCAACAAUAGUGUUGUUG